AGGUAGGGAUUUGGCAUUUUGUUAUCUGGGUUAUUUGGUAAUACAACUACAAGACGAGCACAGUCAGGAGUGUAUAACUUAUUGUCAACAAGUGGAACAAGAGUUUAUAUUGAUUUGGAAAUUCCUAAGACUGCAAAUUUCAAAGAUUAGUAUAGAAUUCAAUUAAAGGUUGAAGAUAGCUCAAGAAUGACCAUAUUCAUUUUAAUUUAAACUUAAGUUUGAUUUCUA